UGUUCUGCUGCAAGAUAUUGAAGACUUUGUCUACACACAUAUCAUAUUUAGGAUUGUCCUUUCAGUUCACCUCUUUAAAGAGAGAGAAGUCUUACUCUUUGGUUUCUGUGACAUCUGACCUUUUACUGCUGCCUUCUGAAUCAGGACUUUGGCUGAGCAGAGAUGUCCAAGUGC
rnacentral:lncRNA from 1 species